CCUACGGGAGGCAGCAGUGAGGAAUAUUGGUCAAUGGCCGUAAGGCUGAACCAGCCAAGUCGCGUGAAGGAAGAAGGAACUAUGGUUUGUAAACUUCUGUUAUAGGGGAAUAAAGGUAUCCACGUGUGGAUAUUUGCAUGUACCCUAUGAAUAAGCAUCGGCUAACUCCGUGCCAGCAGCCGCGGUAAUACGGAGGAUGCGAGCGUUAUCCGGAUUUAGUGGGUUUAAAGGGUGCGUAGGUUGUUUUUUAAGUCAGCGGUGAAAGUUUGGGGCUCAACCAUAAAAUUGCCGUUGAAACUGGUUUUCUUUAGUGCGCGAGAAGUAUGCGGAAUGCGUGUUGUAGCGG
rnacentral:rRNA from 1 species